UCAUCAUGACGUACAUUCCUGCUGCUAUGCUAAUUGCUAGCCGAGUGGCUACUUUCUGUACCGCUGAUUCUGUUGUUGUUAUCCGAGGGACCCUACAUAGAAAUAACAGUAAACUUAUUUAGAAAACCGUUAACCGUUAACCCGGAGAAUCUCAGUGUCUGUGUCGGGCCGUCGUCAUGGCUCUUCAAGGCCCGGAGGAGCUGGGGGAGCAGGUCGAAGAGCCGGAGGAUCUGGACGACCAGGACGCUAGUAGCAUCUCCCCGGCAGAGGAGAUAACGCUCACCCCCGGGCCCGGUGGCGACGAGGAGCCAGAGGAGGCUCUCCUCCUGCCCUGGGACCGCUUCUCCACCUGGCUGCACUGCAUCUGUGUGGUCGGCUUCGACCUGGAGCUGGGACAGGCGGUGGAGGUCAUUUAUCCUCAUCAUUCCAAACUCUCAGAGAAAGAGAAAACAAGCAUCUGCUACCUUUCCUUUCCUGACUCAAACUCAGGUUGCCUUGGCGACACCCAGUUCUGCUUCCGCUUCCGUCAGGGUUCCAACAGGAAGUCGUCGCUAGGCUGCUUCCUGGAAACCACCGACCGGGACGCACCGCCCUGUCUGAAGAGGGAACAGGGCCAUUACUACGGCUACGUGUACUUCCGUCAGGUGCGAGACAAAUCCUUGAAGAGAGGAUACUUCCAGAAGUCACUGGUCCUGAUCAGUAAGCUGCCCUAUGUGACCUUCUUCCACUCGCUGUUGAGGAUCAUGGCUCCAGAAUACUUCGAGAAACAGGAGCCCUGUCUGGAGGCCGCUUGUAAUGACAUAGACCGCUGGCCAACACCCCAUCCCGGACGAAUCCUAACGCUGCCUAUUAUGGGCGUGGUGAUCAAGGUUCGUAUCCCGACCUGUUAUGACAAACCAGGAACCUCACAGCUGGUCCAGUCCACCCAGAGUGACAGUCUGGUGUCCAUCGUGCUCCCAACCAUCCAUGAAGUCGACCUCUUCAGGUGUUUCUACCCAGUCUUCUUCCACAUCCAGAUGCUGUGGGAGCUGGUGUUGCUGGGGGAGGCACUGGUCGUGAUGGCACCGUCGCCAGCAGAGUCAUCGGAUACCGUUCUGGCGCUGGUCAGCUGUAUCUCUCCCCUGCGUUACUGCAGUGACUUCCGGCCGUACUUCACCAUCCACGACAGCGAAUUUAAGGAGUACACCACCAGGACGCAGGCUCCGCCAUCGGUCAUUCUAGGAGUGACCAAUCCCUUUUUUGCUAAAACUCUGCAGCACUGGCCGCACAUCAUCCGCAUCGGAGACAUGAAGCAAGCAGGUGAGAUGGCCAAGCAGAUGAAAGUGAAGAAACUGAAAAACCUCAAAACUCUGGACUCUAAACCUGGUGUGUACACUGCAUAUAAGCCAUAUCUCAACAAAGAUGAAGAAAUCAUCAAACAGCUUCAGAAGGGUGUUCAACAAAAGAGACCCUCAGCGGCCCAAAAUGCAAUUCUUCGACGCUACUUCCUAGAACUGACACAGAGCUUCAUCAUUCCACUGGAGCGGUACGUGGCCAGUCUGAUGCCUCUCCAGAAGUCCAUCAGUCCCUGGAAGAGUCCUCCUCAGCUCCGACCAUUCAUCCAACAGGACUUCAUGAAGACGCUGGAGAAAGCUGGACCUCAGCUUACAUCCAGACUGAAAGGGGACUGGAUAGGACUCUACAGGCAUUUCCUCAAGUCUCCCAACUUUGACGGCUGGUUCCGCAACAGGAGGAGAGAGAUGACCCAGAAACUGGAGGCUCUGCACCUCGAGGCGCUGUGCGAGGAGGAUCUGCAGCAGAGAAUCCAGAAGCACACAGAGGUGGAGACGGUUGAUCUGGUUCUGAAACUGAAGGAUAAACUGACGUCCUCCAACAGCGUGUUUCCUCUGAGGGAGUAGCUGAUGUAGGACCAGCACCGUCAGGGAGGCGCCUGAUCGGCCCCAGAUUCAUUCUGCAGCAGGACAACGAGCCCAAACACACAGCCAGAGUCAUAAAGAACCAUCUUCAGAGACAAGAAGAACAAGGAGUCCUGCAACAGAUGGUCUGGCCCCCGCAGAGCCCUGAUCUUAGCAUCAAGGAGUCAGCCUGGGAUCACGUGAAGAGACGGGAGACACUGAGACAGACUAAAUCCACAGAAGAACUGUGUCUGGUUCUCCAAGAUACCAGUGAACCUCUGGAAUGUGGUCUUCAGCAUUUCCGGUAAAUCAGUGGCUCCAUCGCAGUGGCCCCCCCGUCAAGGGGUUAACAUGAAGGCGCUGAGGUGGUAGGCUUCGUGCCAGAGGGGGCCUAUUUUAUCUGAGUGGAAAGACUCAUCACGCCCAACCAACGGACACUGAGCUAGAGACGUGGCGUGUCACGAGCAAUCUGAGAAAGUCUACGAAGAAACCCAGAGGGGACACGAAGUAAAUACAGACCGAGUGGAGAGAAAACCCGCUGGUUGGACACUGGCGGAUGCAGGACAAAACGGACUGCGUUGGUGUCCUGCCGGCAACAGCGAUUAUUGUUAUCAAUUGUGUAUUAAGGUGAUUUUAGCUGUCAGAUGAAUGUAGUGGAGUAAAACCUGCAAUAUUUUCCUCUGAAAUGUAGCGGGGUAGAAGUAUGAAGUAGCUUAAAAUCGAAGUACUCAAGUUAAGUACACGUACCUCAAAAUUGUACCUACAGUUGUAAGUGAAAAUAAGUAAAUAAAACAGACAUUUAAGAACGAGAACUUCUGCAAAUAUAUCUGAUAGGUCUUAUUUGCCCAACUUUGUUACAUUCCACCACUGGGUGGUUUUCUUUCUUCUCAAGAGAUUUGGGUAAGAGCGAGAAAAACGUAGAAUAUUCUCAGUGUUACCCCGAAACUGUGGUCA